GAUGAACGCUGGCGGCAUGCCUUACACAUGCAAGUCGAACGGCAGCACGGGAGCAAUCCUGGUGGCGAGUGGCGAACGGGUGAGUAAUAUAUCGGAACGUGCCCAGUCGUGGGGAUAACGUAGCGAAAGCUACGCUAAUACCGCAUACGAUCUAUGGAUGAAAGCGGGGGAUCGCAAGACCUCGCGCGAUUGGAGCGGCCGAUAUCAGAUUAGGUAGUUGGUGAGGUAAAGGCUCACCAAGGCGACGAUCCUUAGCUGGUCUGAGAGGAUGAUCAGUCACACUGGAACUGAGACACGGCCCAGACUCCUACGGGAGGCAGCAGUGGGGAAUAUUGGACAAUGGGCGAAAGCCUGAUCCAGCAAUGCCGCGUGAGUGAUGAAGGCCUUAGGGUUGUAAAGCUCUUUUACCCGGGAUUGAUAAUGACAGUACCGGGAGAAUAAGCUCCGGCUAACUCCGUGCCAGCAG
rnacentral:rRNA from 1 species